rnacentral:rRNA from 1 species
GACGAACGCUGGCGGCGUGCUUAACACAUGCAAGUCGAACGGAAAGGCCCUGCUUUUGUGGGGUGCUCGAGUGGCGAACGGGUGAGUAACACGUGAGUAACCUGCCCUUGACUUUGGGAUAACUUCAGGAAACUGGGGCUAAUACCGGAUAGGAGCUCCUGCUGCAUGGUGGGGGUUGGAAAGUUUCGGCGGUUGGGGAUGGACUCGCGGCUUAUCAGCUUGUUGGUGGGGUAGUGGCUUACCAAGGCUUUGACGGGGAGCCGGCCUGAGAGGGUGAACGGACAAAUUGGGAAGAGGAUACGGCCCAGAAUCCUGCGGGAGGCAGAAGGGGGGAAUAUUGCAAAAUGGGGGGAAGGCUGAUGCAACGACGCCGGGGGGGGGAUGAAGGCCUUCGGGUUGUAAACCCCUUUUGCCAGGGAAGAAGCGUGAGGUGACGGUAAGGGGAAAAGAAGCACCGGCUAACUACGUG